rnacentral:rRNA from 1 species
AAACUAGGAUUAGAUACCCUAUUAUUAAAAAAUUAAAUAUAUAAAACUAAAAUAGUAAAUAAUUUAUUGAAACUUAAAUAAAUUGGCGGUAUUUUAGUUCAUUCAGAGGAAUCUGUUUAUUAAUUGAUAAUCCACGAAUAAAUUUACUUAAUUUAUUAUUUUGUAUAUCGUUGUUAAAAAAAUAUUUUUUAAUGAAAAUAAUAUUUUAAAAUUUUAAAAAGAGAUAAAAUCAGAUCAAGAUGCAGAUUAUAAUUAAGAAUAUAAUGGAUUACAAUAAAUUUAUUUAUAUGGUUAUUAAAUUGAAAUAUUUAAUUGAAAGUGGAUUUGAAUGUAAUUUUAUUUAAAUUAAUAAAAUGAUUAAUAAUUAAAAUAUGUACAUAUUGCCCGUCGCUUUCAUAUAUAAAUUAGAAAUAAGUCGUAACAUAGUA